AAAAUUUAAUAAAAAAAAGAAAGAAAGAAAAAUAAAACCACAACACACACUGUGCGUGUGUGUGGUCGAUCGCACAAGGCAGAGGGAAAGGGGUAAACCCUAAUUCUCAAGAAAUCUCCAAAUUGAAAAGGGAAUUGAAGGUUUUUAGGAUGCAUGUAUCAAGAUUAUCGAUCUCCUAAGUGUUCUUCACUAUCAAAUAAUAGGAACGUGUCAAGGAGAGGUCAAGCAUAGGAGGAUAACGGGUCAAGAUAAGGCAAGGUGACAAAUACACUUAAUGGAGUACUCGAGGUAUGGGAUCGUUGGCUUCAUGAAGAAAUGGAGCUGGAUUUGGAUAAGAGUAUUUAAGAAAGCGCUUGGACAAUUCCACGACUACUUUAUAGAAUGCUCUACGAAAUUCUAUUAUAUAGUUUAAUGUUGUAUGGUAUGUUAAUGACUAAUGGUUUGGUUGUACGUGGUGUCCACAGGUAUCGCUUGGGUUUUCUCUACAUUUAUUGAAGUGAAGCGGACUUAGUUCGAGUUGAGAGCAAGGAUUGUACGGGGUAGAAUGGUCACAUAGUGUAACUCAUAUAGAUUUUGAAGUAUUAAUGUUAUAUAUCCGUUUCAAUGAAUAUAUGGCUUUUCGCAUUUGAACCUUCAUGUGUUUGAUAUGUCUAUUAAAGAACGAAAUUUUUGGGCUCUUGUUUUCCGCUGCGUCGUAUUUUAAGUUAUUACACGUUAGUCUUACAGGGAAUUGUUCUUAUUACGAACGGGUCAUGCCCGAAUUUUGUUAAAUAAUAGUAUGAUAAUAUUACAUUUUGGAAUGUGUAAUUUGGGCGUUACAAGUUGGUUUCAGAGCCCUGGUUUGAGGGAAAUCAAGUAUGAGGAGGCAAAUACUUGAACUCAAACCUGUGUGCUCUUGUGACGAGAAACCCGUACAAUCCAAGACUCGAUCAAGAUCUAAAGGUAGAAGCAAAUGUAAGUAUGAAUUUAAGUAUGUUUAUGAAGAAACUAACAUUAUGUUGUGUGUAAGAUAAGCAUAGUUGUUUGGAUGAGGAUGAUCCACGACUGUGGUCUCGGACUGACACCAAGGCAUGUAAUAAGACCAUUGCCCAGGUACGUAAAUUUUGCAUAAGGGUGCAUGUAAUGCUAAAAGUUAUCGAGUGAAGGAAAAUUUGAAUGAAAUAUAAUAAUAUAAUGGAAACGAAGUUAUGAAAAUGUUACACGUGCCGAAACCUAAUUCUUCGGACAUAAGGUGACGAUUACACGAAGACACGAAACUAGUAUGUGGAUUGUGUACCUGGCCAGUACACAAGAAACAUAAGACGUUCGUGAGACCGUAAUGAUUGUUACAGGUAUGUCCGAUAGGAUUUGGUAGCGGCUGGGUGUGUGGGUGAAAUGGGUAGUAAGACUCUCGGGAGGUUGAGAGUACUAUGUAAGGGUGAAAAGUAUAAGUGAUAAGAAUGAAAUAUUGAGUCCAUAAGAAAGUAUGGAUUGACAAGAUAUGAAUGCAAUGCUUGAGUCCGCGAGACGGAUUCAAGGAUGAAAGAUGUGAAUGCAAUGCUUGAAUCCGCGAAACGGAUUCAAAGAAUGAAAGAUACGAAUGAUGCAAAUCCCUUGCGGAUUUGAUUAUGCUAAAGAAGGUUAUGAUAAGCUAUGCAAAUCGACCGGUUCAAGUUGAACAAGUCGAGUAAGGAUAGCGUACCAUCCGUUUAGAACGGGUGGUCGUGAAUGCAAUAAUAAAUGUAUGAAGUUCAACCCGUUAUACGGAUAGAACGAAAUAUUUAUGUUGAACACAAUUAACUCGAUUUUACCGAGGCGUAAGUGGUAUGCUUGAAUCUCAUUAUGAGAAUAUAUGCCAUUACCCAUUUAAUUAGAUACUCGAAUGCGUAAAAGAAAUGAAAGUAUAUAAGCGAAUGGAACUAAAAUGUUGGUGUUGUAAGCGAAAUAAGUAUUAUGACUAACUUUUAAAACGGGAAGGGUAAAAAUUUGCAAGAAAACACUGGAACAGUGAAGCUAUGAGGUCAUAAGCAUGUUUGAAUUGAAAAAGAGUACAAACGUGUACUUCGAUACGCAUGUAUAUAAUAAGAAAUAAGUGGCAGUUGACCUUGAAAAGUCAAACUGCAGAAGCUGAGAAAUAAUUUGGUUUCAAACCAAGAGAGUGCUAGAGAAGAAAGGAAAUGUGUAGUGUAGUACACCAAAUGAGUUAAAGAAUUACGAAAUAAUGAUUAUGUGUUUACCCGUCAAGAACGGGUCAAACAAUGAGAAUGAUAUAUAUAUAUAUAUAUAUUAAGAAAUGGUCAUGUAUUGACCCGUUAUGAAUAAGCUUAACACACUAGUGCUUUAAAAAGAAUCUUGGAAGUAGUAAUAUGUAAACAAGGAGAAGUAAUAAACAUCAUGUUUAAAUGAACUUGAAUGAAAUGUGAUAAUCCCCAAUUUUAUAAUGAGUAUGGCAGAUAUCAUAGUGUGAUAAACCUAUCUAGGUCAGUGAAAGAAUGUUCAUAAGCGAAAGCUCGUCACACGGAUAAACGAGGUCAAUACGAAACAUGGUAUGGAUGGGGACGAAGAGGACCGACUCGUUGCUGCAUGUUCAAGUACUGCACCAAGGUAGUAAGGUUAGCAAAUUAUUUAAUAUAUGAAGGUACGAUGCUCGAAUCCCUCAAACCUACGCUCUCGUGAAAGUGUGUUCGUUUCUAAGCGCCACGCAAGUAAGUGAUUUAAGGAUUUCGAGCUAUGCUUUUAGAUGAAAACGGAAAUGGGUUAUGGAUAAAUUACUAUUAUAACCUGGGUUGGGACGUUAUGGGAUGUUAGGGAAGGUUUCGGGACUGCCCAAGACCAUUUCUGGUUGGAAAAAAAAGACCCGGGAACAAAAAAUUUUGGUCAAACAGCGUCUGCACACCAGAGAGCCCGUCGGCGACGGCCUUUAUGCCGUCGGCGACGGCACCCCUCCACCUGACGCGCUAACUGUCUGUCUACGGGCAAUGUUUAGCGACGGGACCUUCCCGAGCCCGUCGGCGACGCACCAUGUGCCGUCGGCGACGGGUCCCCCUUAUCUGCUUAUGCUGAAAUUGUUUGUUUAUUAGGCUAAGGUCCUUAAUUCAGUUCUAGCAUUCAUUAAACACUAAGAACACCCCAGAUUGAUUAUGAAGCUAGGAAAUUCAAGACAACUAUCGUGUUUUAAUGAUGAAUGUGUGGGAAGUUAUGUAUGCGAACGAAUGAAAUAAGUAACACAUCUAGAAUGUUUGUAAAGAAAGAUUGGGUAAGUUUAUAAAAAUUUUACGCUAUCAUUGAGAAAGUACCUCCGUAUGAAUAAGUACGAUAUGUUAAAUGUGUACGAAUGAACGAGAUUGAAUGCGGAAAUGAAUAAAAUAAUGAUGACUAGGGAUUGGUUUUCGCAAAGAAGUUUGAAAUUUUGAUAAGUAUGAAUAAUAUGUCAGGAUGCUAGUUUCAAAUUAUGGACUAUGGGAUCUGUGAUUAGGCAAUUUCUCACAACAUGCUUAUGUAAGUCGUCCAAUGUCACUUGAAUGAAUGAACGAACGAAGAAUAAAACUAGAUGGGUUAUAGAAGAAAUGAAAGAGGUUUCGGGGACGAAACCUUCUUUAAGGGGGAUAGAUUUGUAACACCCCAAAACUCGAAUUAUUAAAUUCGUUAGUAGGUUACCUUGGGUAAUUAGAUGAAGUACAACAACUAAGUUAUUAAACUUAGUUAAAUGUCUAAUAAAUAAGUAAAGGAAUGAAGUUUGUGGCAACUAUGAUGAUGUGUUAGAGUUGAGGGACCUAGAUUGCCAUAAUGUAAACUAAAAUUUAAUAAAAAAAAAAGAAAGAAAGAAAAAUAAAACCACAACACACACUGUGCGUGUGUGUGGUCGAUCGCACAAGGCAGAGGGAAAGGGGUAAACCCUAAUUCUCAAGAAAUCUCCAAAUUGAAAAGGGAAUUGAAGGUUUUUAGGAUGCAUGUAUCAAGAUUAUCGAUCUCCUAAGUGUUCUUCACUAUCAAGAACGUGUCAAGGAGAGGUCAAGCAUAGGAGGAUAACGGGUCAAGAUAAAGCAAGGUGACAAAUACACUUAAUGGAGUACUCGAGGUAUGGGAUCGUUGGCUUCAUGAAGAAAUGGAGCUGGAUUUGGAUAAGAGUAUUUAAGAAAGCGCUUGGACAAUUCCACGACUACUUUAUAGAAUGCUCUACGAAAUUCUAUUAUAUAGUUUAAUGUUGUAUGGUAUGUUAAUGACUAAUGGUUUGGUUGUACGUGGUGUCCACAGGUAUCGCUUGGGUUUUCUCUACAUUUAUUGAAGUGAAGCGGACUUAGUUCGAGUUGAGAGCAAGGAUUGUACGGGGUAGAAUGGUCACAUAGUGUAACUCAUAUAGAUUUUGAAGUAUUAAUGUUAUAAAUCCGUUUCAAUGAAUAUAUGGCUUUUCGCAUUUGAACCUUCAUGUGUUUGAUAUGUCUAUUAAAGAACGAAAUUUUUGGGCUCUUGUUUUCCGCUGCGUCGUAUUUUAAGUUAUUACACGUUAGUCUUACAGGGAAUUGUUCUUAUUACGAACGGGUCAUGCCCGAAUUUUGUUAAAUAAUAGUAUGAUAAUAUUACAUUUU